ensembl:snRNA U6 U6 spliceosomal RNA
GUGCUUGCUUUGGCAGCACAUAUACUAAAAUCGGAAUAAUACAGAGAAGAUUAGCAUGGCCCCUGCUCAAGAUUGACAUGGAAAUUCAUGAAGCAUUCCAUAUUUAA